CCUCCCAAAACCGAACCAACCAAAGCAAAAACCGCCGUCUCCUCUUCCUUCUUCUAUAGUAAAUGAUUGAGAUGCCCAAUUCUGAUGUUGUUUAGCGAGAUUCAGAGGUGUAGAGGAGAGAUGGAGUGGGCGAUGAAGAUCUCCGACGAUGCCUGGGCCUCCUCCCUCGCCGCACCGACACCAGCGGACGGCGACGACCAUCAAGGGCCACGCUUUGCGAUGAAUCAGAGCCCGCUGGCAUGGCAGUUGGAGAACGUUGUUGCCGCCCCUACCAGCCCUAGCCCGACUCCGGAUCACAUCCCUAAGUCUAUUUCCUGUGCUCCUCCCUCUGAUCCUUGCGGUGGAGCGGUGCAGGAUGGUGAGAUGAUGGAGAUCGAGGCCCCUGUUUCCGUCGAUGAUCAGCCAUCCAAUCCCUUCGCUGGCGUCGAUCCACAGGAGUACGCCUCGCUUCUGAAGCGGAAGCUUGAUCUGUGCUGCGCCGCAGUUGCCAUGUCUCGGGUACUUCUUCCCUCCUUUUCUAGCUGGAAAUUUCUGUUCUUGGGUAAUUACCAAAUGUUAAUUUGCUAUGACCGAGUGCCUUCAUCUUGUUCAAAGCACUUCAGGGCCUUGUCCUUGGAAGAUUUUGCUGGCAAACUGAUGGGUAACUUCAGCGUAUUGUCGAAUCUUAGACAGUUUCAUCCUAAACUAUUCAGCUUUAGCAGUUCCAGAAUUUUCUCUGUCUUGGUCCUAUCCUUACUAGUUCGAUCUAAGCUACGCCACUAGUCUUUUAACUUUGGUGAAAGUUUUUGUUGGGUUUCUAAACUUUAAUUUUGUCAAUUGACUUACAAAACGUUAGUUCAUGUUUGAGUCAAACCCUACUGUCAGCUAAUCUCCAUAAACAGUAGUGGAGAUCUGGCCUGCUGCACAGUAGAACUUUUUUAAUAUUUAGGAUAUAACCCCAAAAUCAUAAACACUAGUGUCUAAGAAAACAGCUGUAAAGAGUUAAAGGUUUCAAUUAUUUCAAUUUUAUUUUAAACUAAGUAAUAAACACAAAUAACUUGCAAUUUAUCCAUAUAUUUUCAGCUUCAAACCAAAAUUUUCUCUUUAAACAUUAUUGACUUCUAGAAGAAUAUAUUGGUGACAGAAUCUAGUUAUUGCUACUAGAUAUGCAUGACAAUCGAGAUAUGUGAUCACUAAAUUGAUUUUAAUAUCUUUUACCAUUUUUAUACAUUUAUUUAUUCUCACCAUACUACCACUGAACACCAUAGUGACAAUGAUGCAUUUGAUUUUUGGAAUGUUGUAUAACAUUUUUCUCUAGAUACUUUUGUUAUUUUUGUUUUCUUUGUCAUAUACAAUUUUCUUUUCGACUUUCUGGUUGGAACUGUUUUAUCUGGAACUAUUGAAACCAGAGAAACUAAAAAUGUGUGACUUUGAAGUUGUGGCUGUGGUCAAAAUGAAAACUGAAACAUUUACUUCAAACCUGAGUCAUGGCUACAGCAAGUGUUACAUAGUUGCUCUUUUGGUGUUUCCCUUGGAAAUAUUUGGUGUAGGUUGUACAUCUCCCUGUUGGUAUUUUUGACCUGUCACUUUCAAGUUUUAAUUCCAUUUCUCCUCCAUCAGUAUUUGUGUGCUAACUAAGGUCAUAUAUCAGAACAAUACCAAGGAGUUAGGUGAGGUUAAGGCCAAGGUACAUCAGGAGUGAGGUACAUUCUGAUCACAUUUGAGCUAUGUGCGAGCAAGUUAAUUGAGUGGUCAAUGACAAUAAACUCAGGUAAUGCUUUCAUGUUGCAAUUAUGUUAAUGUGAUUGCUGCCUUGAGAUCUCAAUCAAAAGGCUAAAGAACAAACACAUUAUGUUUGUUUGGUUACUAAUUUAUGUGGUUACCAAUGUUUUCAACUUAUUGCAUGGAACACGUGCCAAUUGAGAAAAACCUGUGAUAUGCAUAAUAAGAUUUACUUAUAAGCAAUUCACUGCAAGGUUCCAAAUUCUGGUGACACAAGAAAUUACCUGCUGUUGGAAUAAUUUGUUCCAUUCUGUACUGGAGGUUCCAAAUUCUGGUGGCACAGGGAACCACCUGCUGUUGGAAUAACUUUUGUACCAACGGAACAGGCAAGUCGAAAAAAACAUACCUCUACAGUACUCUUCUUUGCUUUUCUCUAGCAUCCUUUCCUUCCCUCCUUCGGUCUUCCAUUGGAGAUGGGAAGUGAUAGAGCUCAAGAGGACAUUCUUGCUCUUAAAUAAAAAAAACAGCCCAAACCACUUUUUUAUUAAAAUUAAUUUAGGUGAGAUUUUAAACUGUGUUUUAAAUAUAAAGAAACUAGUUGGCCUUUUUUUAUCAAUAUAAGUGACUAGUUUGGAAUAUUUUAAUGUUUAAGUAUGACCAAUGCCACUGGUUUUGGGAUCUACUUUUUGCAUCAUGGGUCUUAGCCAAACAAGAUGUUAAUCCUAAACAUUUCAAAACUAAAUGAUUGGUUCAUUGCAUUGACAGACCUGACGAUUACAAUUUUUCUUUGUUAAAAAGAAUAAAGAAAAUAGAUCUUGCAAAGAACACUUGGAAUCCUUUGGCAGAUAUGAAAAAUUCAAGCUUGUUAUGUCACAUUGUAACUUUUGUGAUGAAUAUACUCUAAAUCCAUCUUUAGGUAUUCCACCGUCUGUUUUUACCUUAACUAUUAGAUAAAACUCUGAUGGGCCAAAUCUUGUACCAAUGGAAGAUGAAUCGUAGAGAAACAUUUGGAAUAUUUAUUUAAGCUAUACUGAAAAUUACCAUAUCUACUACAUAUUCUCAUAGUAGAAAAAUUCUUCAUGUUUAUCUUUCAUUUGUAACUACAUUGAGUGUUUUCCCCUGUAGUUAUGGAUGUAAUCUCUUGAAAUAAAAAAGAACAUGUGUAAAAUGGUACCUAACAGUAUUUUUAAAAGCAUUAGACGCCAAAAGACACCAAGGUCCUAAAACACACAGUGCUAGGCUCUCGCCUGAGCGAAGUGAGGCGUUCCAAAAUAUUAAAAUAUAAAAAAUAUAAAUGGAAGAAGGUGGGGGAAGGAGAAGAGUAACCGGUGGCUAUGAAGGAAGGUGGGGAAGGAGAGGGCAAUGGAGGAAGCUGCGGACAAAGGCGGUAGUGGCGGAGGAAGUAGCGGACGAAGGUGAUGGCAGCGGAGGAGGAAGUUGCAGACGAAGAUAGUGGCAGCAACAAAGGAAGCUGCAAAUGAAGACAGUGGCAGAAGAAGCUUCAGACGGAAGCGGCGACGAUAGAGGAAGCUUCGGAUGUAGGGUUAUACUUCAAAGACAAGCUUUGGGGGUGGUGGUGGGUUUUGUGUUAGGGCACUUUAGUUGGUUCAAUUGAACCAACUUGCAUGUUCAAUCGAACCAAGCAUGAACCCGACCCAUUCUUCACUCGAGCACUCGCCCGAGCCCCUCGGUGACUGGGCUCAGGCAAGCACCUAGGCGAUGCUUCAUUGAAACGCCUCUCCCAGAGGUUGUGCGAGGCACUCAGGGCACCAAGCAACAGAAAUAUCAUUCUUACUAUCUACCUAUUUAGUCUUUGUAGACUCUAAGAUUAGUUCAACAUGUAUUUUUAAGUUACAACCCAGAUUAUCGCAAAUAAAUGCAAAACAAAUGGUUAAAGAAUACCUGCUUUCUUCUUUGCUUUGUUUAAAUGUCCACCAAGUGGGUUUUCAUUUUUUGUUUUCUUCUAUGCUGUUUUUUCAAAGUUCUUUUGUUACUUGUUGUCUCUUUUAAGCAACUGUAUGACAGGUGCCUGUCCAGCCAUAGAGUAUUUGUCAAAUAAUUUUCUCUUAUCACAUUUUCCUCCAUUGCAGCUACAAAUUUAAGUCAAAUAAAUAUCCACAUCAUGGUUUCUGGUUUGCUAUAUUUUCAGAGUUCUAAUGCAGAUCUCCCAAGUUCACCAGCUUUAGAUUCUUCACAGUAUGGAUCUCAGACACCUACGAGGGGUAUAAUACUGCAUACAAGUUGCUUUUACAUACACCAAUAUUGUUAGGUUCUGUAAGUGUUUUUCUUUUUCUUUUUGUUUAAUUUUUUUUUAAAACCCAGUUACAUUUUCAAGUAGGAUAUCGUUGGAGUUCUCCUUGUACUGUAUAUUGUUUUCCCUUUUGUUUUUGACAUAUAUGAAAAAAAAGUCAUGUAAUUUACUUUGCAGUGACUGAUAACAAAAGAUGAGCAGAAACAACAAUUUAGGAGAUACACAAAUUUUAUAUUUAAGAUUAAAAAUGUUCGAGGUCUUCACAAUUUCCUGCUAGUAUAUAAUUGAAGCGAACUUCACUUAUCCAAUGAGCAACUAAUGAGAAAGUAACAAUGCUGUCGGAGUUCUUACAACUGUCAUAACUCAUAAGUCAACAUCAAGCAGUCUCCGAAGACAAUGGUACUUGGUUUCAAGAUGGCAAAGAUACAGAUGCAUCCACAUGUACCUUAUUAUAUGUCCAGGAAACACAGUUUGGAGAAGCUUUGAAAAUUUUCAUUUUAUUGAUGAUAAUGCUAUCAUGCUAUGAAUUUUUCUUCUAUAUGUAGAUGAAAGUUGUAGGACUCGAUUAGCUUAGAAUAUAUUAUCAGUAACAUGCGCAAGGAUGAACAUGCCUCACAAAACAUGCUUGCAUGUUGAGUUACGUUUUGGUUAUAUCCUGAUAUCCCACUAAGGUGACUUCUUCUCUAGAAUUGGUAUUUGCAUUAUCACCACUUGAAUUUAGUAUCUUCUCACAUAUGUUUAUCCAGCAUUCACAAAUGAUUCUAAUGUAGGCCAAAUCUUCAGUUUGUUUAAUCUGAUGGAAAAAUCGAUCAAAAUUUCUUCUUGUUCUAGGUCAAAACCUUCUCCUUUGGGUUUAUUAUUGAACAAAAACCAAGAGAAGUAACAAAUGUGUUAGAUGAACACUAUAUGAGAAAAUAAAAACAGGCUUAAGCAACCAGGGUAAGAAGCAUAUCAAUUCUAAUUGAGUCUUUGAGGAAUGCUUAAGGAUGCAUUAUCAAGAUGAAACAAAACCAUUGGAAAAUGUGUAGCUGGAAAUUAUAUGGUGUUCUAGAGAUCUUUUUUCUUAGACUAUAAUUCGUGCAUACUUAUCUGAUUCAAGGUAGCAUUCUGCAGUAGUAGGUAUUGUCAUUAUUACUAGGCAAAUGCUAAAUUUAAAUUGGAUUCGUGGUGGAUGCUUUAAAUGAUAAAUAUUUCUUGAUUACUAAAGUUACAUGUUUCUGUGGUUAGUCAAUAUAAAAUAUGUUGAAAGUUUACCAAUUUAUUCCUCCAAUUGAGGGAUGGAUACUUUUUUACACUUUUACAUAAACAAAAAAUUCAUGGUUCACCAAACCUACAUGCAAGAUUUCAAAUCUCAACAGAUCAGUUUAUAUCAGUCCAACAAAGUAUCAGGAUCGAAACAUAAAGCCUCAUUUUAUCUUUUUCAUUAUUCAAUGAUACUAAGCAAUAUAGGUGAAAAAAACCAUUCAAUGUACUCCUCGCAGACCAGUAGGUAAUCAAAAUCUGCACUAACCUGAUAUUUAAAGCUUUGCUUAUAUGGUUGUUGGAUUAUCAAAUUCUCAUAACAACUAUGGAGGAUGGAUAUGCCUUGUAACGUCAGAUAUUUCUUUUCUAUUGGAUUUACUGUCACAUGAUUAGGUAGUGGUUUUCAUGUGCUAUGCAUCGCAGAUAGUGGAUCUACUGGGCUUCCAUCUUUUACUGAAAUGAAGAACUCAACUGUCUCAGGGAAGCCAGUUGCCAGUGGAUCAACCACACAUCUGUCAGAUGAUGAUGAACUUGAGGAGGAGUUAGAUACAACUAAGAAUGCAGAUGGUGUGCGUAUGAAACGUAUGAAGAGGUAAACACCUCAUGAUAAGAACUUAAUAAGCAUUCAUUCAUGUUGCUACUGGGAGUCAGUCUUUCAGAAUUCAUCUGUAUUUGUUGUGUCAUCUGUUUUUCCCAAGGAUCUAUUCUUGUGUUGUGUUGAGUUUUUUAAAGAAAACUGCUCAGAAAGAUUACUUUUUUUAUGAAGUCUAUUUAAAAGCUUAGAAGACAUAGAAUAAUGGUGGUUGUUGCAUAAUCUGUUUGGGAAACAACUGCAGGUCUAUUUUUUGAUGCUUUAUAUCUACUGGGAUUUGGUUUUGAACUUCAACUGCUUCUUGCUCAGGAUGCUUUCAAAUAGAGAAUCAGCAAGACGUUCAAGAAGGAGAAAACAAGAACAUCUGAAUGAGCUUGAGGCACAAGUAUCAUUUAAUUAGUCAGUUGUUUUUGUAUCUUUAGAAGAUGAGGAAUCUUAUCAACUAAUGACAUUUUUCAUUAGGUCUCACAAUUGAGAGUUGAGAACUCAUCACUUUUAAGGCGUCUUACUAACAUGAACGAGAAGUACAAUGAAGCUGCUGCUGAUAACAGGGUACUAAAAGCAGAUGUGGAAACUUUGAAAGCCAAGGUAAGCUACUUGUCACACUUACGCAUAUGUUCAACUAUCGAGUGAUGUAGAAGAUUUUAAAUUUUUUGUCCUUUUACAUUAACAUGGCCAUUUUCAUUAGUAGGCUUGAGGAUAUUAUUACUCUAGAGUUAUAACAUCUUGUUCAAGUCUUUGAAAGUAGUAACAUAAUUGAUUUCAUCAUCUGAUUCAUUAUAGACUAAAUAGGAAGAAGAGUUAAAUGUACAUGUUUUCAAGAUUAUAUAGUAAAGAAGAAUGGAGCUUAAUUGCAAAGCGAUAAGUUCUGUUCACAUUCACUUGCUCGAAUCAACUUCGCACCAGGGCAAGUGUAUGUAAGAUAGGAUUAAUCCAUGAGGUUAUUAGUUGGUUACCUACCAUACAUGGGAGAGCUCUUUAUUUUUCCUUAGUUGAUUCAUCCUAUAUUCUAUACUCCCUCAUGGAAGUUUUUCUAAUUGCUAACUUCUUUGAAUGAUUGGAAUCAUUUGGCUAUCAUGAACAAAUUAAGUUAGCUCAAGUGGUGGCUCUCUAUGAAAAUUAAUAUGGUAAAGAUUGACUUUUUGAUCGAUCUAACUAAUAUUAUAUGAAGCAACUAUGGUAUGCAGGUGGUACAUUGCCUCAUUCCAUUUGCUGGCCAUUUGAUUAAUUAGGCUGCAUAAGCCUCAUGAGAGGUGGGCAUUUGACCUCCAUUUAUGCCAUAUUUAUACCCAAUGCAAAGAGAAGACCUCAAUCACAACUAAUCAUCAAUCUGAAGCAAUCUGUUGAAGCCGAUGAUAAUUGACCAGGUUUGUGUGGGUGUUUGCUUGAUCUAAGAUGUCUUUUAGGUUUUUUUUUUCUAUGGGGUUUCUUUAUUUCAGGUUUAUUUAUGUUUAAGUAGUUCUCUUUGUGCUUUCUGAGUCAAUAUUUUAGCAAAUAGAAGGGUCAAGUUUUACUUAGCUGAACGCUAAAUAAGCUAAUAUUGACUGCCCAAAUUAGGUAUAAGACAGGACUUUUAAGUUAUUCUGAAAAUACUCCUUUUCAAUGACUGCAUGACAUGAAUUACAAAUUAAGAACUUGAUGUUCCUUUAAUUGGUGCUAAAAGGUCUUAAGGACAGGACUUAUGAACUUAUAUAUGACUGCUUUAAUAGGACCAAGUUCCUUUCUAAAUGUUGUUGGAUGGGAUGGUGCAAAGUGGAGCAAAGUCUUGUAAGAUAUUCACAAUUGUGAGUUUUAGUUGAUCUCUUUAUUAGUAGCCAGGGUAAGAGGUAAAUUGGCAACUAUUGCUUGUUGAAUGUCAUGAAUUAAGCAUUAUAUACUAAUACCGUCUCAUCAUAUUUGAUCCAAUUAAUGCAAGUGGUUGAGACCGUCCCAAUCUCAUAAGUGGUCAUGUCAUCUGUUCUUCCUAUGUUAUUUGUCACCUUAUGUUGUUUAGCUAAUACUUCAAAUGACCUGGGUGAUACAGAUUCCUUAUUGAUACAACAGUAAGGUAAUUAGUAUUUGUUGUGUGUCAUUUCAAAUAAUGUACAGUUGAGAGCACUCUCAAAUAUAUUCUGACAAGUGGAAAGCACAAUCACUUUUUAACUUGUGUGAUAGAUUCUUUUAUCAAUCUAACAAUCUCAUCAGCUGUGAAUAUUUAGCUGUGAGCUGAUACUACUCCAAGCUC
rnacentral:lncRNA from 1 species